rnacentral:rRNA from 1 species
CAUUUUUUAUGCUGUUAGACGGAUAGCUUGGCUUUGGAAUUGAUGAAGGACGUGGCAAGCUGCGAUAAGCUUGGGCGAGCCGCAUGCAGGCUUUGAACCCGAGAUUUCCGAAUCGCCCCGAGAGGGGGAACUACGCCGGGAAUUGAAACAUCUUAGUACCGGCAGGAAGAGAAAAUAAAUAAUGAUUCCUUUAUUAGCAGAGAGCGAAAGAGGAAGAGGGCAAACCGAAUCUGUCUUUGAAAGGAGAACAGAGAUGUGGUGAGCGUAAAUUCCUAAGUUUGCGAAUCAAACUUUCUGGAAAGAAAGGCCUUAGAAGGUGACAGCCCUGUAGAUGAAGCGAAUAUGGAGUUGCUCAAAGAGUAGGGCCUCCUGGAUUGGAGGUCUGAACAUGGCGGAAUUAACCGCUAACCCUGAAUAGAACCAAAGUCCGAUAGCGCACAAGUACCGCGAGGGAAAGCUGAAAAGAACUCUUGGCAGAGUGUGAAAAGAUUUGAAAUCUAACAGUUACAGAUUGUUACUGCUCUCCUCUCUUCGGAGAAUGAGGGUUGUAUCGUACGUUUCGAAGAACGGGCCAGGGAGUUUUCUUAUAUGGCGAGGCUAAUCUCUUAUGGAGAGUAACCGAAGCGAAAGCAAGUUGGAAACAGCGCAAGUCAUAUGGGGAAGACCUGAAGCCGGGUGAUCUAUUCUUGAGCAAGAUGAAGUCUCUCGAAAGGGAGAUGGAGGUCUGAACCAGUGCUACGUACAUAUGCUUGGAUGACUUGAGAAUAGGAGUGAAAAGCCUAUCUAACUCGGCGAUGGCUGGUUCCUGCUGAAAUAUGCCUUCGUAUAGUCGUAUCCAGUUUGCCGGCGGUGUAUAGUACGGAUAAAAUUUGCAGAGGCUAUUGCCUACGGGAUUUUUUCCAACUCGGAAGCUGUCGGCUGCGUAAGAUAUGAAACAGGGGCGGUGCGUAAGGUAUCGUUCCGAAAGGGGAAUAACCCAGACCAAAGUUAAGGUCCCUAAGUUGUGCUAAGUGUAUCAAAAGGUGUCUUGAACCUGAGACAGUGGGGAUGUAAGCUCAGAAGCAGCUAUCAUUUAAAGAAAGCGUUACAGCUCACCCAUCGAGGCUCAGGGCCCUGAAAAUGGACGGGGCUAAGCACAGCACCGAGACUUUGGCGGCGCUCAUCAGAGCGUUCGAGUAAGCAGGCGUGUUUAUUGCGCAGAAGCUUUUUGGAGACAAAGAGUGGAGCGAUAAGCAAUGAGAAUCCUGGCAAUAGUAGGAUGUGACUUUGCUGAAAACGCAAAGUGUCGUAAGAGCAAGGUUUCCUUGGCAAUAUACGUUAGCCAAGGGUUAGUCAGUCCCUAAGCCGUACCUUAACUGACUACGGCGAUGGAAGAAAUGUUAAUAUUCAUUUACUGGCUGAGUUUUAUUCAGUGCAAAGCUUUUGGACAGGCGGGCAUUCGAGAGAAUGUUCCUGCAGAGAAAUGGGGGGAGCGUAAUGCUAAGAUCUUCAUGAACUUGCAGGACAAAACCGCUGAUUCCGGGAGCCAGUGAAAAAUGCGCUGCUCAUGAAUUCAGUCAACUGUACCAACAACCGGCACUGGUGCUCUGGCUUAAUAGGCUAAGACAUGAAAGGUCAAACGAGUUAAGGGAAUUCGGCAAUUUAGCCCCAUAACUUCGGUUUAAGGGGUGUCUAUCUUUGUCCGCAAGGAGCAUUGAUAGAUCACAGUUACAAGGAUGGCCCGACUGUUUACCAAAAACGUAGCUGAGUGCUAAGCUGAAAAGCUGUGUAUACUCGGUGAGACCUGCCCAGUGGUGGUGUGUUAAACUCUUUUUCAAGGGAGCUAAGCCCCAUCAAACGGCGGGGGUAACUAUGACCCUCUUAAGGUAGCGUAAUACCUUGUCGUAUGAAUUACGACUUGCAUGAAUGGUUUAACGAGGUCGUCACUGUCCCUAACUCGAGCCUUCUGAAAAUACUGUGUGGCGAAAAUGCCACGGACGCCUAGUGGGAAGCGAAGACCUUGUGGACCUUUACUGCAACUUGUUGUUGUGAUCUUAGAGGGGAUGCAUAGCAUAGGUAGGAGCGUCGAUGUCGUGAUUUCGGUUGCGGCGGAGCGAACCUGUAAUACUACCCAUCUUUUCUAAGAUUGCUUACUCUUCAUGGGGACAGCAUCAGGCGGGCAGUUUGACUGGGGCGGUGCCCUGUCGAAAAGAUAUCGAUAGGACCCAAAGACAAGCUCAUCCGGCUUGGAAAUCCGGAGCAGAGUGCGAAGGCAAAAGCUUGUCUGACUGUAUUUUGCAAAGCAAGAAAUGCAGGGAUGAAAGUCGGGCUUAGUGAACCCACGUGCUUUUUUAAUGGAAGCCGUGUCUGAUAGAAAAGGUACCCCAAGGAUAACAGGCUUGUCGCCCCCGAUAGUCCGUAUUGACGGGGCGGUUUGGUACAUCGCUGUCGGCUCUACCUAUCCUGGUUGUGCAGUAGCAACCAAGGGUGUCGGAGUUCACGCAUUAAAAGGUAUCGUUAGCUGGGUUAAGAACGUCAACAAAUUAUCCAGAUUAACACCCAAACGAAAAAAUAAACAAGCAAGAUAAGCGGCGUUGCGUGCGAGUGAUUGCACGAAAAAUAAAAUUAGCUCAUAUCGGUGAAGCCUUAAUAUUUAUUAACUGUUGAAUAUUAUGGUAAUACCGAGGGAAGGUGAGGUUUAUGGAUUCAAUAACGCUUGCAUAUAUCGCAGGUUUCCUGGAUGGUGAUGGUAGCAUAUUCUUCCAAAUAGUUCCGAGGAAAGACUAUAAACAAAAGUUUCAGAUAAGAACUUCAAUAGCUUUUUAUCAGAAAACAGAAUUUAAAGAAAUCCUGGAAUGGCUUAAAGAAAAAUUUGGAAUUGGAUAUAUACGUCACAGAAAAACACGAAUGAGUGAUUAUACGAUUGUUGAAUCAGGAGAAGUGGAAAAAAUAUUGACACUUCUAAAGCCAUAUGUCAGGCUCAAGAAAAAACAAGUUGAACUUGGAUUAUUAAUCCUUGAGAAAUUAAAAAUCAAAAAGUCUGAUAAAGACUUUUUGGAAAUUUGCAAACUUGUUGACAAAUUCAAAGAGCUUAAUUAUUCCAAGAAAAGAAUAAUAACAUAUGACUCUGUAAGUAAAUCUUUACCCCCGUAGAGACUUAGGGCUUUAAGCCCUGGAGUCCUGUCCGAUUAAAAGAACAGGGCUAAGACGCUAAUCUCCUUUUGCAAGAAAAGGAUGAAGGUAUAGUCCACCCAUUGAAAAUAAAUAAUCAAUGAAUAAGUACGCGAGACAGUUUGUAUGAUAUCUACUAGGUGUGUCGUUGAGUGAGUGGAACAACCUUCUAGUACGAGAGGAACGGGGGUUGGGUGCCUCUGGUGUGCGGUUGUCAAUGGCAGGCCGCGAAGCUACGCACUGACUGAUAAGGGCUGAAUGCAUCUAAGCCCGAAGCAGCCCGCAAAACGACUCAACAAAGGCCGUCAAAGAAGAUGACGUCGAUAGAGCUGCUGUGUAAGACCCAAGAACACGAGGGUUUCAGCACGCAGCCACUAAAAGCCUCAUUUAUGUU